rnacentral:lncRNA from 1 species
CAGCGUAUCAAUGAGCACUUACACGAUUCUCCUCUUUCCUGUUUACUGCAAAUUUUGCCUUAAGGCUUCUCGUCAUCAGGACUCAGAAGCCACUAAUUACAAAGGAAAGGGCAGUUAGUUGGCACAUUUUUCUGUCUUGAAGCAGUGCUUUCAGAUAAGAAUUAAUGUAAAUCUGCUUUUGUAAAUUGCAACUUUAAAUUAAACUGACUCAAAUUUACAACAGCUUUGUAUACCAGAAGAGGUUUUGGUAAGAGUUGAACAUUUUUAAACAGAAACUUUAAAGCCUCACCAACAGAUUGUGGAUUAAUUCACACGCACACACAUAAACGAGUGUGCGCACACGCACACACUAAUUAACUAAAUUAGAACACACACACACAAAUAGCUAAAUCGGAAACCAGUUUGCAAUUUUAUAUAACUACUAAUUAUUAAUGAGCAAAAUUCAUUUUUCUUUUAAUAUUUAAAAUAUACUCUCUAUACCCCUGAAAUGCAUUAAUAGAGGUUAACAAUUGUGUCUCAUGCCUAGAUUUAACAUUUUUGGCAAAUCCAAAAUCCUUUUAACUCACAUCUACAUUAGCAGUUAUUAGUUGACUUUUACUAAUAGAUACACCUUUAUGAUGGUGUUUUUGUAGAAACAUAAGUAGUCCAAUAGUGGCAUUUCUUGCAGUUUUGUACAGUAUUUCAGUAUAGUGCAUAAAUAAGUAUGUUCAUAAAAUCAAAUAAAAGGAGUAUCUUAUGGAAAUAAGAAAAAUCACAACAAAAAUUGCUAUUCAUUUGCCUCGUUUAAAUUUCAUUUUUUUUCAUUUUCUUUGUUUUAGUGUGAUUCUAUUAUGUGCUUUGCAUGACUGUAUUAAUACCAAGGUCACAAAAUGCAUCUUAUUAACAGAAUUUGCCGUGAAGACAGCCUCGACAUUAAAAAUUCCCUCACCAAAGGAUUGUAAAGGAGCCAUGCAAGAGAGAAAGGAAGCAAAAAAAGAAAAAAGGCAAUUUAAAGCUACCACUGAUGUACUCAACCUGUGGCACUAA